GGAAGUUAGAGUCGAUGCCUUCUGAUGCGGUGAAAAUAUCCUGAAUCUUGGACCGAGAGGCCAGAGAUUAAUUCACAACUUGUGCAGGUACCAGUGAUCAAUGCCAAAGCCCUGGUGCCUGUGGAGAGGGUAAUAUUUGACUACUUGUACUGCUGCAGUUUGUAUGGUAAAGGCGCUCCCACAACGUGGUUUGAUACCACUGAUUAAUGCCAAAACCCUAUUGCUUGUGGAGAGGGUAAUGUUUGACUUUCUUGUACAGCUGCAGUUUGUGUGGUGAAGGUGCUCCUACAAUGUGGUUGGAUUCCACCAUCUGCCAAGAUGGGAUUCGAACCAAGACUUCAGUCAUUUGUUUUAAUAUUCUGGAUAAAAACUA